rnacentral:rRNA from 1 species
GACGAACGCUGGCGGCGUGCUUAACACAUGCAAGUCGAACGAUGAACUUGGAGCUUGCUCUGGGGGAUUAGUGGCGAACGGGUGAGUAACACGUGAGUAACCUGCCCUGGACUCUGGGAUAACUUCGAGAAAUCGGAGCUAAUACCGGAUAGGACCUUGCACCGCAUGGUGUGGGGUGGAAAGUUUUUCGGUUUGGGAUGGACUCGCGGCCUAUCAGCUUGUUGGUGAGGUAAUGGCUCACCAAGGGGUCGACGUGUAGCCGGGCUGAGAGGGUGACCGGCCACACUGGGACUGAGACACGGCCCAGACUCCUACGGGAGGCAGCAGUGGGGAAUAUUGCACAAUGGGCGCAAGCCUGAUGCAGCAACGCCGCGUGCGGGAUGACGGCCUUCGGGUUGUAAACCGCUUUUAGUAAGGAAGAAGCCGCAAGGUGACGGUACUUGCAGAAAAAGGACCGGCUAACUACGUGCCAGCCGCCGCGGUAAAAC